UGGUAGCUGGCAUCUGUACCCUCACCACCAUUAUAAAAACCCCCACCACCGCAAGCGACCUCCACUACCAUCACCACUACCACCAUGGACACCACCACCAGGCUGCUCUUCCUCUUCCUACUCAUCCUGGGCCUAACAGAAGCUGGAGUUCCGACAUGGAGGCAGAAAACAGCGCGAUUAGAAGAUGAUGGCCGCGAUCAUCUCAACGUCAUGGGGAGUGGGAGGAGCGGGUCGCGGGUUCCCGGACAGAGGAUUGAAGGUAUGGAGUGGGGA